rnacentral:misc_RNA from 1 species
AAGUCGUAACAAGGUCUCCGUAGGUGAACCUGCGGAGGGAUCAUUAACAUCCACAUGGAUGGGUGGGGAACUCAUAUAUCAUAUAUAUGACCUACCUACCCAUACAUACACACACACUCGUGAACACUACACAUUAUACCUCGUGAACUAUAUAUAUAUCAAAUAUACUAUACAUAUCAAACCACUCCACGCAAUGGAUAUCUUGGUUCUCGUGUCGAUGAAGAAC